ACGUAGGAGGCAAGCGUUAUCCGAAUUUACUGGGCGUAAAGCGCGUGCAGGCGGUUCGGUAAGUUGGAUGUGAAAUCUCCCGGCUCAACCGGGAGAGGUCGUUCAAUACUGUCGGACUAGAGGAUGGUAGAGGGAGGUGGAAUUCCCGGUGUAGUGGUGAAAUGCGUAGAUAUCGGGAGGAACACCAGUGGCGAAGGCGGCCUCCUGGACCAUUCCUGACGCUCAGACGCGAAAGCUAGGGGAGCGAACGG
rnacentral:rRNA from 1 species